CCAGACUCCUACGGGAGGCAGCAGUGAGGAAUAUUGGUCAAUGGGCGGGAGCCUGAACCAGCCAAGUCGCGUGAGGGAAGACGGUCCUAUGGAUUGUAAACCUCUUUAGGCGGGGAGCAAUGCCGGGCACGCGUGUCCGGAGGGAGAGUACCCGCAGAAUAAGCAUCGGCUAACUACGUGCCAGCAGCCGCGGUAAUACGUAGGGGGCAAGCGUUAUCCGGAUUUACUGGGUGUAAAGGGAGCGUAGACGGCAGUGCAAGUCCGGAGUGAAAGCCCGGGGCUCAACCCUGGGACUGCUCUGGAAACUGUAAAGCUGGAGUGCGGGAGGGGCAGGCGGAAUUCCUGGUGUAGCGGUGAAAUGCGUAGAUAUCAGGAGGAACACCGGCGGCGAAGGCGGCCUGCUGGACCGUAACUGACGUUGAGGCUCGAAAGCGUGGGGAGCAAACAGGAUUAGAUACCCCUGUAU
rnacentral:rRNA from 1 species